CUUCAUUUGGUUCUUGUUUUUCCCGUUAUUCAUUUCUCUUUAAGGCAAACAGUGGAUGCCAUGGUGUUUGAGGGAUCAGCUCCACUUUCAGAGAGUAGGAAGAGAUCUUUAGCCUUAACAGCAGUACUAUUGGGACUGAUUUAUUUUGGCUCUACAAUGGUGCCCAACAUUUGGACAGCUUUCAAAUUCACAGGGGCAACUACAGCAGUGUCAUUAGGUUUUAUAUUUCCAUCGCUUAUUGCAUUGAGAUUAAGUCAUCGAGGUGAGGGUUUGAGCCAUGGAGAGAAGUUGUUGUCAUGGUUUAUGCUAAUUAUGGCAAUAAUAGUUAGCAUUGUCGGCGUAAUUGGAAAUAUUUAUAGUCUCAAAAGCCAAUCCAAAUGAUAUUCAUCAUAGUUGAUGUGUUGGUAGUUUCUAUGAAGAAAGAUUGGCCAAUUUCCUCCAAAGUCAAGUGGGUGAUACCUUCUCUCUGGGGCCUAAUAAUUUUCAAACAAUCAAGUCAUAUUAGGAAAUGGAUGCAACCUAGGCAAAAUAUUGUUUCAGAUUGCAAGUGUCCUGAUGUUUGAGAUAUUGUGACUUCUCAGAGCAACUAUGACAUACUGGUUCAGCAUUUGAAGAAUGUUUAGGUAAAAUACUUUAUAUGGACACCCACAAUAUGCCAGUUGGUGCAGU
rnacentral:misc_RNA from 1 species